rnacentral:rRNA from 1 species
GACACGGCUGGGCGGCGUGCCUAACACAUGGCAAGUCGAGACGGGGUUGAAGUCGAGGGGUAACUCGAGUUUCUACCUAGCGGCGACGGGUGAGUAACGCUGGGCAACCUGCCUCAAGGACUGGGAUAACAGCUCGAAAGGGCUGCUAAUACCGGAUAAGCCCAUGGCCUCGCAUGGGGCCAUGAGCAAAGGGGAAACCCGCCUUGAGAUGGGCCCGCGUCCCAUCAGCUAGUUGGUGAGGUGAAAGGCUCACCAAGGCGACGACGGGUAGCCGGCCUGAGAGGGUGACCGGCCACACUGGGACUGAGACACGGCCCAGACUCCUACGGGGGGCAGCAGUGGGGAAUCUUGCACAAUGGGCGAAAGCCUGAUGCAGCGACGCCGCGUGAGCGAAGAAGGCCUUCGGGUUGUAAAGCUCUGUCUGGAGGGACGAAGGAAGUGACGGUACCUCCGGAGGAAGCCACGGCUAACUACGUG